rnacentral:rRNA from 1 species
CACAGACAACCAGGAUGUUGGCUUAGAAGCAGCCACUCAUUCAAAGAGUGCGUAAUAGCUCACUGGUCGAGUGAUCCUGCGCCGAAGAUUUCCGGGGCUAAAACUUACUACCGAAGCUACGGCAUCAGUAAUGAUGGGUAGGGGAGCUUCCCAUACGGGUUGAAGCAUGACCGUAAGGACAUGUGGACAGUAUGGGAGUGAGAAUGUUGGCAUGAGUA